GUCCUCGUAGCUCAGUGGAUUAGAGCGCCACCGUCCUAAGGUGGGCGUCGCAGGUUCGAUUCCUGCCGAGGACA
rnacentral:tRNA from 2 species